rnacentral:rRNA from 1 species
AUUGAACGCUGGCGGCAUGCCUUACACGCACGUCGACCGGCAGCACGGGUGCUUGCACCUGGUGGCGAGUGGCGAACGGGUGAGUAAUACAUCGGAACAUGUCCUGUAGUGGGGGAUAGCCCGGCGAAAGCCGGAUUAAUACCGCAUACGAUCUACGGAUGAAAGCGGGGGACCUUCGGGCCUCGCGCUAUAGGGUUGGCCGAUGGCUGAUUAGCUAGUUGGUGGGGUAAAGGCCUACCAAGGCGACGAUCAGUAGCUGGUCUGAGAGGACGACCAGCCACACUGGGACUGAGACACGGCCCAGACUCCUACGGGAGGCAGCAGUGGGGAAUUUUGGACAAAGGGCGAAAGCCUGAUCCAGCAAUGCCGCGUGUGUGAAGAAGGCCUUCGGGUUGUAAAGCACUUUUGUCCGGAAAGAAAUCCUUGGCCCUAAUACGGUCGGGGGAUGACGGUACCGGAAGAAUAAGCACCGGCUAACUACGUG